rnacentral:rRNA from 1 species
AUUGAACGCUGGCGGCAUGCCUUACACAUGCAAGUCGAACGGCAGCACGGGUGCUUGCACCUGGUGGCGAGUGGCGAACGGGUGAGUAAUACAUCGGAACGUACCUUAUCGUGGGGGAUAACGCAGCGAAAGUUGCGCUAAUACCGCAUACGCCCUGAGGGGGAAAGCGGGGGACCGUAAGGCCUCGCGCGAUUAGAGCGGCCGAUGUCUGAUUAGCUUGUUGGUGAGGGUAAAGGCCUACCAAGGCGACGAUCUGUAGCGGGUCUGAGAGGAUGAUCCGCCACACUGGGACUGAGACACGGCCCAGACUCCUACGGGAGGCAGCAGUGGGGAAUUUUGGACAAUGGGGGCAACCCUGAUUCAGCCAUGCCGCGUGAGUGAAGAAGGCCUUCGGGUUGUAAAGCUCUUUCGGCCGGGAAGAAAUCGCACAGGCUAAUACCCUGUGUGGAUGACGGUACCGGCAUAAGAAGCACCGGCUAACUACGUGCCAGCAGCCGCAGUAA